CAGAACUGGGAGAAAAAGCAAAAAAAACAAACAAUAAAAAGAAGCAAAAAGAGUUAACAGAGUUAAGUGGUGUUAAGUGGCUUGCCACAUGUCACGAAACUAGCAGGGAAACAGGAGGCCACAGGAACUUUGGUAACAGGUAAACAGGACUCAUUGAGAGGGGCGAUAGCAUACUAAACUCACACACACUAUGCGGAUGCUAGGACUCGAAUCCAAGACCUUGUCUGAGGGAGUAAAUACUCCAAACCACUACACCAAUGGGGUCAUUUGCAAAAAGACCCUUAUUAUUCAAAACAAAACAAAUGCGUUUUUCUUGAAUUUUUUUUCUCUUGUCGUUGGAUCUGCUGGUUCGCUCUGUGCUACUGGUUCUCACUCAAGCUAGCUUCCAUGGGAGAAGCUUGAAGCUCGCGUGCUCUCUCUCUCUCUCUCUCUCUCUCUCUCUAUCUUUUCGUCCAUCUCUCCUCCUCGCUCUCAUCAGUUCAAACCCUAGAAAUUGGGGAUUUUGAAAUCAAAUAACCACCUUGUUCCAAGGGCUUUCAAGGUUGAGAGGUACAAAGACAAAGAAAUAUCUGGGGUUGAAGCUGAAAGGGGAGAUUCUAGUGGAUCCAAAGAUCUCGGCCGUUGUAGCAAGGUUUGACGACAAUCAUCUCUCUUUCUCAUUUUACAAUAUGAUUGGUUGCUGAGAGCAUUUAACAAUCUCUCUUUCUCACUUUAUUUUUAUUCAGUAUCUUGUUCUUUGAUUUUAUAAUUAGACGUAUGCUUAUGAAUGGGCAGAUUUGCUUAUGAACAGUUCUCAAUUUCUUCUAUUUUACUCUCUUAUGAAACACUUAAACCGCUGUUAUGUUUUGUCUCCUUUUGAUCAUUGUGUAUACCCAACUGUGCACUUAUUGAUGUA